AUCUUUUGAGUAUGCAACCGUACACUUGGCCUUCCAAGCAAGAAGAUUAAGAAAACUUAAAAAAGAUA
rnacentral:tRNA from 1 species